AGAGUUUGAUCCUGGCUCAGAACGAACGCUGGCGGCAGGCUUAACACAUGCAAGUUGAACGGGAACAUACGAUAGCUUGCUAUAGUAUGUGAGAGUGGCGCACGGGUGAGUAAUACAUGGGAACAUACCUUAAAGUGGGGGAUAACUUCUGGAAACGGAUGCUAAUACCGCAUAUACCCUGAGGGGGAAAGAUUUAUCGCUUUAAGAUUGGCCCAUGGCAGAUUAGGUAGUUGGUGGGGUAAAGGCCUACCAAGCCGACGAUCUGUAGCUGGUCUGAGAGGACGAUCAGCCACAUUGGGACUGAGACACGGCCCAGACUCCUACGGGAGGCAGCAGUGAGGAAUAUUGGGCAAUGGGGGCAACCCUGACCCAGCCAUGCCGCGUGAGUGAAGAAGGUUUUCGAAUUGUAAAGCUCUUUCGGAUGUGACGAUGAUGACGGUAGCAUCUAAAGAAGCCCCGGCAAACUUCGUGCCAGCAGCCGCGGUAAUACGAAGGGGGCGAGCGUUGUUCGGAAUUACUGGGCGUAAAGGGUGUGUAGGUGGACGUGUAAGAUAGCGGUGAAAUGCCGGAGCUCAACUUCGGAAUUGCCAUUAUAACUAUGCGUCUAGAAUUAUAGAGAGGAUAGCGGAAUACCCAGUGUAGAGGUGAAAUUCGUAGAUAUUGGGUAGAACACCAGUGGCGAAGGCGGCUAUCUGGCUAUAUAUUGACACUGAGGCACGAAAGCAUGGGGAUCAAACAGGAUUAGAUACCCUGGUAGUCCAUGCCGUAAACGAUGAAUGCUGGUUGUCGGACGAAUGUUCGGUGACGAAGUUAACGCGAUAAGCAUUCCGCCUGGGGAGUACGGCCGCAAGGUUAAAACUCAAAGGAAUUGACGGGGACCCGCACAAGCGGUGGAGCAUGUGGUUUAAUUCGAUGCAACGCGAAGAACCUUACCAACUCUUGACAUCCUCAUCGGGGAGGACAGAGAUGUCUUCUUUCAGUUAGGCUGGAUGAGUGACAGAUGCUGCAUGGCUGUCGUCAGCUCGUGUCGUGAGAUGUUGGGUUAAGUCCCGCA
rnacentral:rRNA from 1 species